UACAGAGGGGGCAAGCGUUAUUCGGAAUUAUUGGGCGUAAAGGGCGCGUAGGCGGUCUGGCAAGUGGAAGGUGAAAUCCCUCGGCUCAACUGAGGAACUGCCUUCCAUACUGCUGGACUUGAGUCCGGGAGAGGUGAGUGGAAUUCCCAGUGUAGCGGUGAAAUGCGUAGAUAUUGGGAGGAACACCAGUGGCGAAGGCGGCUCACUGGACCGGAACUGACGCUGAGGCGCGAAAGCGUGGGGAGCAAACAGG
rnacentral:rRNA from 1 species